UUUCUUCACAUAAGUCCUAAGUCAGCUUAGUACCCGGUCAAGCUAGGUCAGGUCCUAGCACUAGUACUCGGUCCUAAGGAAAAGUUAGUACCUGAGCAUUUCUUCACAUUUAUAGGACCUGAUCUAAGUUCACAACGCGGUCCUAAGAAAUAAAUCGUAUAAAAAUGAUUUUACAAAAUAUUAACAGACAAAAAACAGUCCAUUCAUGAAAUUAACAAUAAAAUAAUUUAAAAAAUAUUGUGAUGAUUGAGAACAAAGACAACAAGAAAAGAAGAUAAAUUAUAUCAAGAACCUUCACUAUCAGGAACGACGAGAAUGUGACGAUUUUGUGCAUAAGUGCCGGCAAGCCUGAUAGCUAGUUCACUAACGACUCUGGAAAACCUGGAAAAGCCACAGAUAAACCAGUUUAUUUUAUUAUUAAAAAAGACAGUUCAUAUAUGUAUAUCUCAAUAAAAAUAACAUUUUUGAAAACUGAA